GGGGGAUAUUGCACAAUGGGCGCAAGCCUGAUGCAGCGACGCCGCGUGAGGGAUGACGGCUUUCGGGUUGUAAACCUCUUUCGCUACCGAACAAGGCUCCAUAUUGGUGGGGUUGAGGGUAGGUGGAUAAGAAGCGCCGGCUAACUACGUGCCAGCAGCCGCGGUAAUACGUAGGGCGCGAGCGUUGUCCGGAAUUAUUGGGCGUAAAGAGCUCGUAGGCGGCUUGUCGCGUCUGCUGUGAAAACGCGGGGCUUAACUCCGCGCGUGCAGUGGGUACGGGCAGGCUAGAGUGUGGUAGGGGUGACUGGAAUUCCUGGUGUAGCGGUGGAAUGCGCAGAUAUCAGGAGGAACACCGAUGGCGAAGGCAGGUCACUGGGCCAUUACUGACGCUGAGGAGCGAAAGCAUGGGGAGCGAAC
rnacentral:rRNA from 1 species